rnacentral:rRNA from 1 species
UGUGAGCUCGAUGAGUAGGGCGGGACACGUGGUAUCCUGUCUGAAUAUGGGGGGACCAUCCUCCAAGGCUAAAUACUCCUGACUGACCGAUAGUGAACCAGUACCGUGAGGGAAAGGCGAAAAGAACCCCGGCGAGGGGAGUGAAAAAGAACCUGAAACCGUGUACGUACAAGCAGUGGGAGCCUCUUAAUGGGGUGACUGCGUACCUUUUGUAUAAUGGGUCAGCGACUUAUAUUCUGUAGCAAGGUUAACCGAAUAGGGGAGCCGAAGGGAAACCGAGUCUUAACUGGGCGUUAAGUUGCAGGGUAUAGACCCGAAACCCGGUGAUCUAGCCAUGGGCAGGUUGAAGGUUGGGUAACACUAACUGGAGGACCGAACCGACUAAUGUUGAAAAAUUAGCGGAUGACUUGUGGCUGGGGGUGAAAGGCCAAUCAAACCGGGAGAUAGCUGGUUCUCCCCGAAAGCUAUUUAGGUAGCGCCUCGUGAAUUCAUCUCCGGGGGUAGAGCACUGUUUCGGCAAGGGGGUCAUCCCGACUUACCAACCCGAUGCAAACUGCGAAUACCGGAGAAUGUUAUCACGGGAGACACACGGCGGGUGCUAACGUCCGUCGUGAAGAGGGAAACAACCCAGACCGCCAGCUAAGGUCCCAAAGUCAUGGUUAAGUGGGAAACGAUGUGGGAAGGCCCAGACAGCCAGGAUGUUGGCUUAGAAGCAGCCAUCAUUUAAAGAAAGCGUAAUAGCUCACUGGUCGAGUCGGCCUGCGCGGAAGAUGUAACGGGGCUAAACCAUGCACCGAAGCUGCGGCAGCGACACUAUGUGUUGUUGGGUAGGGGAGCGUUCUGUAAGCCUGUGAAGGUGGCCUGUGAGGGUUGCUGGAGGUAUCAGAAGUGCGAAUGCUGACAUAAGUAACGAUAAAGCGGGUGAAAAGCCCGCUCGCCGGAAGACCAAGGGUUCCUGUCCAACGUUAAUCGGGGCAGGGUGAGUCGACCCCUAAGGCGAGGCCGAAAGGCGUAGUCGAUGGGAAACAGGUUAAUAUUCCUGUACUUGGUGUUACUGCGAAGGGGGGACGGAGAAGGCUAUGUUGGCCGGGCGACGGUUGUCCCGGUUUAAGCGUGUAGGCUGGUUUUCCAGGCAAAUCCGGAAAACCAAGGCUGAGGCGUGAUGACGAGGCACUACGGUGCUGAAGCGACAAAUGCCCUGCUUCCAGGAAAAGCCUCUAAGCAUCAGGUAACAUCAAAUCGUACCCCAAACCGACACAGGUGGUCAGGUAGAGAAUACCAAGGCGCUUGAGAGAACUCGGGUGAAGGAACUAGGCAAAAUGGUGCCGUAACUUCGGGAGAAGGCACGCUGAUAUGUAGGUGAAGCGACUUGCUCGUGGAGCUGAAAUCAGUCGAAGAUACCAGCUGGCUGCAACUGUUUAUUAAAAACACAGCACUGUGCAAACACGAAAGUGGACGUAUACGGUGUGACGCCUGCCCGGUGCCGGAAGGUUAAUUGAUGGGGUUAGCGGCAACGCGAAGCUCUUGAUCGAAGCCCCGGUAAACGGCGGCCGUAACUAUAACGGUCCUAAGGUAGCGAAAUUCCUUGUCGGGUAAGUUCCGACCUGCACGAAUGGCGUAAUGAUGGCCAGGCUGUCUCCACCCGAGACUCAGUGAAAUUGAACUCGCUGUGAAGAUGCAGUGUACCCGCGGCAAGACGGAAAGACCCCGUGAACCUUUACUAUAGCUUGACACUGAACAUUGAGCCUUGAUGUGUAGGAUAGGUGGGAGGCUUUGAAGUGUGGACGCCAGUCUGCAUGGAGCCGACCUUGAAAUACCACCCUUUAAUGUUUGAUGUUCUAACGUUGGCCCGUAAUCCGGGUUGCGGACAGUGUCUGGUGGGUAGUUUGACUGGGGCGGUCUCCUCCUAAAGAGUAACGGAGGAGCACGAAGGUUGGCUAAUCCUGGUCGGACAUCAGGAGGUUAGUGCAAUGGCAUAAGCCAGCUUGACUGCGAGCGUGACGGCGCGAGCAGGUGCGAAAGCAGGUCAUAGUGAUCCGGUGGUUCUGAAUGGAAGGGCCAUCGCUCAACGGAUAAAAGGUACUCCGGGGAUAACAGGCUGAUACCGCCCAAGAGUUCAUAUCGACGGCGGUGUUUGGCACCUCGAUGUCGGCUCAUCACAUCCUGGGGCUGAAGUAGGUCCCAAGGGUAUGGCUGUUCGCCAUUUAAAGUGGUACGCGAGCUGGGUUUAGAACGUCGUGAGACAGUUCGGUCCCUAUCUGCCGUGGGCGCUGGAGAACUGAGGGGGGCUGCUCCUAGUACGAGAGGACCGGAGUGGACGCAUCACUGGUGUUCGGGUUGUCAUGCCAAUGGCACUGCCCGGUAGCUAAAUGCGGAAGAGAUAAGUGCUGAAAGCAUCUAAGCACGAAACUUGCCCCGAGAUGAGUUCUCCCUGACUCCUUGAGGGUCCUGAAGGAACGUUGAAGACGACGACGUUGAUAGGCCGGGUGUGUAAGCGCAGCGAUGCGUUGAGCUAACCGGUACUAAUGAACCGUGAGGCUUAACCUU